AUGGUGCCGCCUCCCAAGAACAUGCCAGUACGACGCCCACGAGAGGUAGAAGAAGAAGUCAGUCCACUAGAGCCACCUGACAUUGAAGCUUACGUUCUGCCAAGGCUAGAGAUGUGGUUUGAAAAUUUCGAAGAAACAAAGAACUUCUACAACGUAUAUGCGAAGCACGUGGGUUUUGCUGUCAGGGAAGGCCCCAAGUUUAAGACCAGAGCCUACCUUUAUUGCACGUGCUAUGGAGUUUAUGAAUCCAAGGUGUCUGAAGCAAAUAGACAGCGUAACAAGAUGACAGCCAGAACUAACUACGGGGCUAAAAUGAGGCUGAAGAAGGAAAAGGAUGGAACAUUUGUCAUAAAAGAGAUAGUCCGGGAACACAACCACAGGCUACAACCAACCACAGAAAUGCUUGUCUUCUUGUGCAUGAGAGGGAAGGCUCCUACAUGCAUCCUCACAGACCAGUGCCCGGCAAUGGCUUUGGUGAUCCCAGAUGUUUUCAAGAACACAAUACAUAAGUUAUGCCGCUGGCACAUUAUGAAGAAGUACAGGGAACACCUCGCGUACCUGUACUACCUGCACGAUGACUUUAAGGAUGAAUUCACAUCAAUGCUCAACUGGCCCCUCAUGCCAACUGAGUUUGAGGAUGCCUGGAAAAGACUCAUGGAUAAGUACAACCUCCACGAUGAUGCCACAAUGGUGGGCAUGUGGAACGAGUGGGAGAGAUGGAUAUCAGCCUACUUCAAAGAAAUUUUCUGUGCCAAAAUGACAUCCACACAGCCAAGUGAGAGCAUGAACUAUGUGCUCAAGAAGAACUUCGUAAGUGAGAGACAAAACCUACACCGGUUUGUCAGCCAAGUAAACUCCUGCAUCAAAACCAGGAGGCAGACAGAGAACCAGGAAACAAUGGGUAACCAGAAGGAACAAAACACGCUGACCUUCUAUGGGUUUGACACCCAGAUGGCAAAGCUCUACUCACGAGUUGUGUACAGCGAGAUCAGAAAUAGGCUAAAACUAAGCACACUCUUCACGGCGACAAAGACGGAAGAGCCCACAAAGUACCUCGUGCGCUACAACCACCCGCAAAAACUGCCUGUGUGGGCUCAACAUGCGUUCCAGGUGGUUGCAGACCCCGUGGGAGAAACAUAUGAGUGCGAGUGCAGGCUAUGGGAACACACAGGUCUUUUCUGCGUGCAUGUCAUGUGCAUGAUGCAGACAAUUAAGGCUGCCAGCGUUCCAGAGAAAUACAUCCUCAGGAGAUACACCAAACACCCGAACAUCCAGCCAACAUUCAACAGAAAUGAUUUGAGGAUAGUAGCGUCAAACAAGGCAUCCCAAUACUACAUUGAAAGCUCACUGCUGACGCUGAACAUGAGGGUGCACAGAAAAAGCUUGAGAAGCCAAGAGCAAAUGGCGAGGUCACGGGUCGUCAUGGACAAACUUGAACAAGAACUCAACGCCAUGCAUUCUACUGAAAAUGGAGGUGUCGCGAACAAUGAAGCCAUUGAGCAGGAUAUUGCUACAAUGUUAUCCGAGAUGAACCAUCUGGGAUCUAUUGACCCAUUCGACAAUGAGGAAGAGGAGCAGCGGCAACCGUAG
rnacentral:rRNA from 1 species